GACGAACGCUGGCGGCGUGCUUAACACAUGCAAGUCGAGCGGUAAGGCCCUUUCGGGGGUACACGAGCGGCGAACGGGUGAGUAACACGUGGGUGACCUGCCCUUAGCUCUGGGAUAAGCCUGGGAAACUGGGUCUAAUACCGGAUAUGACUCCAUGACGCAUGUUGUGGGGUGGAAAGCCUUGUGCGGCUAGGGAUGGGCCUGCGGCCUAUCAGCUUGUUGGUGGGGUGAUGGCCUACCAAGGCGACGACGGGUAGCCGGCCUGAGAGGGCGACCGGCCACACUGGGACUGAGACACGGCCCAGACUCCUACAGGAGGCAGCAGUGGGGAAUCUUGCGCAAUGGGCGAAAGCCUGACGCAGCGACGCCGCGUGGGGAUGACGGCCU
rnacentral:rRNA from 1 species